GAGUUUCCUUCUGGCUCAGGAUGAACGCUGGCGGCGUGCCUAACACAUCCAAGUCGAACGAAGCGUGCGGAUGGAAUUUCUUCGGAGAGGAAGCCUGCAUGACUGAGUGGCGGACGGGUGAGUAACGCGUGGGCAACCUGCCCUGCACAGGGGGACAACAGCCGGAAACGGCUGCUAAUACCGCAUAAGCGCACAGCUUCGCAUGGAGCGGUGUGAAAAGCUGCGGCGGUGCAGGAUGGGCCCGCGUCUGAUUAGCUGGUUGGCGGGGCAACGGCCCACCAAGGCGACGAUCAGUAGCCGGCCUGAGAGGGUGGACGGCCACAUUGGGACUGAGACACGGCCCAGACUCCUACGGGAGGCAGCAGUGGGGAAUAUUGCACAAUGGGGGAAACCCUGAUGCAGCGACGCCGCGUGAGCGAAGAAGUAUUUCGGUAUGUAAAGCUCUAUCAGCAGGGAAGAAAUUGACGGUACCUGAGUAAGAAGCUCCGGCUAAAUACGUGCCAGCAGCCGCGGUAAUACGUAUGGAGCAAGCGUUAUCCGGAUUUACUGGGUGUAAAGGGAGCGUAGGCGGCCUGCCAAGUCUGAUGUGAAAUACCGGGGCUCAACCCCGGGGCUGCAUUGGAAACUGGCAGGCUGGAGUGUCGGAGAGGCAGGCGGAAUUCCUAGUGUAGCGGUGAAAUGCGUAGAUAUUAGGAGGAACACCAGUGGCGAAGGCGGCCUGCUGGACGAUGAC
rnacentral:rRNA from 1 species